GGAUGUGAAAGCAGCCACGAUGGCAUGGC
rnacentral:piRNA from 1 species